UACGAAGGGACCUAGCGUAGUUCGGAAUUACUGGGCUUAAAGAGCUCGUAGGUGGUUAAAAAAGUUGGUGGUGAAAUCCCAAGGCUUAACCUUGGAACUGCCAUCAAAACUUUUUAACUAGAGUAUGAUAGAGGUAAGUGGAAUUUCUAGUGUAGAGGUGAAAUUCGUAGAUAUUAGAAAGAACACCAAUUGCGAAGGCAACUUUCUGGAUCAUUACUGACACUGAGGAGCGAAAGCAUGGGUAGCGAAGAGG
rnacentral:rRNA from 1 species